rnacentral:rRNA from 1 species
UACGUAGGGGGCAAGCGUUGUUCGGAAUCAUUGGGCGUAAAGGGUGCGUAGGCGGCGCGGUAAGUCGGGUGUGAAAUCUCGGAGCUUAACUCCGAAACUGCAUUCGAUACUGCCGUGCUUGAGGACUGGAGAGGAGACUGGAAUUUACGGUGUAGCGGUGAAAUGCGUAGAUAUCGUAAGGAAGACCAGUGGCGAAGGCGGGUCUCUGGACAGUUCCUGACGCUGAGGCACGAAGGUCAGGGGAGCAAACGGG